rnacentral:rRNA from 1 species
CACGAACGCUGGCGGCAGGCUUAACACAUGCAAGUCGAGCGCCCCGCAAGGGGAGCGGCAGACGGGUGAGUAACGCGUGGGAAUCUACCCAUCUCUACGGAAUAACGCAUGGAAACGUGUGCUAAUACCGUAUACGUCCUUCGGGAGAAAGAUUUAUCGGAGAUGGAUGAGCCCGCGUUGGAUUAGCUAGUUGGUGGGGUAAAGGCCUACCAAGGCGACGAUCCAUAGCUGGUUGGAGAGGAUGAUCAGCCACACUGGGACUGAGACACGGCCCAGACUCCUACGGGAGGCAGCAGUGGGGAAUAUUGGACAAUGGGCGCAAGCCUGAUCCAGCCAUGCCGCGUGAGUGAUGAAGGCCCUAGGGUUGUAAAGCUCUUUCACCGGUGAAGAUAAUGACGGUAACCGGAGAAGAAGCCCCGGCUAACUUCGUGCCAGCCGCCGCCGUAAGAC